GGCGACUCGUCCGGGACACUCGCCGAUUGCGGCUCGGUGCUCGCCGAUUGCGGCUCGGUGCUCGCCGGUUGCGGUUCGGUGCUCGCCAC
rnacentral:tRNA from 1 species